rnacentral:rRNA from 1 species
ACUCCUACGGGAGGCAGCAGUAGGGAAUCUUCCACAAUGGGCGAAAGCCUGAUGGAGCAACGCCGCGUGGGUGAAGAAGGUCUUCGGAUCGUAAAAACCCUGUUGUUAGAGAAGAAAGUGCGUGAGAGUAACUGUUCACGUUUCGACGGUAUCUAACCAGAAAGCCACGGCUAACUACGUGCCAGCAGCCGCGGUAAUACGUAGGUGGCAAGCGUUAUCCGGAUUUAUUGGGGCGUAAAGGAACGCAGGCGGUCUUUUAAGUCUGAUGUGAAAGCCUUCGGCUUAACCGGAGUAGUGCAUUGGAAACUGGGAGACUUGAGUGCAGAAGAGGAGAGUGGAACUCCAUGUGUAGCGGUGAAAUGCGUAGAUAUAUGGAAGAACACCAGUGGCGAAAGCGGCUCUCUGGUCUGUAACUGACGCUGAGUUCGAAAGCGUGGGUAGCAAACA